UGAUCUCGAGAGCUCAGAAAGACACAGAGACAGUGGAGUACAUGUGGCACUGUGGCUCAGGGAUGCAAUGUGAUCAGCGGUUCCAGCUUUUGUUCCACUAAGUUCUUUGUCAUGAUUCACAGGACCCUGGUACUAGCUGAGGACCGAACCCAGGGCCUUGCGCUUGCU